GGCAAUUGCUAACAUAUACCAGGUGGUUGCUAGGUGGUUGCUAGGGUGUUGCUAGGUUGUUGCUAAGGUGUUGCUAUGGUAUCCGGGGUGGUUGCUAAGAUGUUGCUAGGUGGUUGCUAACGUGUUGCUAGGUGGUUGCUAAGGUGUUGCUAUGGUAUCCGGGGUGGUUGCUAAGGUGUUGCUAGGGUGUUGCUAGGUGGUUGCUAGGGUGUUGCUAGGUGGUUGCUAAGGUGUUGCUAUGGUAUCUCGGGUGGUUGCUAAGGUGUUGCUAGGUGGUUGCUAGGGUGUUGCUAGGUGGUUGCUAGGUGGUUGCUAAGGUGUUGUUAUGCGGUUGCUAAGGUGUUGCUAUGGUACCCUGGGUGGUUGCUAAGGUGUUGCUAGGUGGUUGCUAGGUGGUUGCUAAGGUGUUGCUAUGGUACCUGGGGUGGUUGCUAAGGUGUUGCUAGGUGGUUGCUAGGGUGUUGCUAUGGUAUCCGGGGUGGUUGCUAAGGUGUUGCUAGGUGGUUGCUAAGGUGUUGCUAUGGUAUCUAGGGUGGUUGCUAAGGUGUUGCUAGGUGGUUGCUAGGGUGUUGCUAGGUGGUUGCUAGGUGGUUGCUAAGGUGUUGCUAUGCGGUUGCUAAGGUGUUGCUAUGGUAUCCUGGGUGGUUGCUAAGGUGUUGCUAGGUGGUUGCUAGGUGGUUGCUAAGGUGUUGCUAUGGUACCUGGGGUGGUUGCUAAGGUGUUGCUAGGUGGUUGCUAGGGUGUUGCUAUGGUAUCCGGGGUGGUUGCUAAGGUGUUGCUAGGUGGUUGCUAGGUGGUUU